rnacentral:rRNA from 1 species
CAAUAGCGUAUAUUAAAGUUGUUGCAGUUAAAAGCUCGUAGUUGGAUUUGUGGCUGUCGCGUGCGGCCUGACACAUUGUGUUAGUGUUUGCUUGCGUCGCCAUCCUUGGGUGGAACCUGUGUGGCAUUAGGUUGUCGUGCAGGGGAUGCCCAUCGUUUACUGUGAAAAAUUAGAGUGUUCAAAGCAGGCUUAUGCCGUUGAAUAUAUUAGCAUGGAAUAAUAAGAUAGGACUUUUUUGCUAUUUUGUUGGUUUGCGCAAAGAGGUAAUGAUUAAUAGGGACAGUUGGGGGUGAUUCGUAUUCCAUUGUCAGAGGUGAAAUUCUUGGAUUUUUGGAAGACGAACUACUGCGAAAGCAUUUACCAAGGAUGUUUUCAUUAAUCAAGAACGAAAGUUAGGGGAUCGAAGAUGAUUAGAUACCA